rnacentral:rRNA from 1 species
CUAUGGGGGGCACCAGUGAGGAAUAUUGCACAAUGGGGGAAACCCUGAUGCAGCAACGCCGCGUGGAGGAUGACGCAUUUCGGUGUGUAAACUCCUUUUAUCAGAGAAGAAAAUGACGGUAUCUGAUGAAUAAGCUCCGGCUAACUCCGUGCCAGCAGCCGCGGUAAUACGGAGGGAGCAAGCGUUAUUCGGAAUCACUGGGCGUAAAGGACGCGUAGGCGGGUUUUUAAGUCAGGUGUGAAAUCCUAUGGCUCAACCAUAGAACUGCACUUGAAACUGGGGGCCUAGAGUAUGGAAGGGGCAGGUGGAAUUAGUGGUGUAGGGGUAAAAUCCGUAGAUAUCACUAGGAAUACCGAAAGCGAAGGCGACCUGCUGGGACAUUACUGACGCUGAGGCGUGAAAGCGUGGGGAGCAAACAGGAUUAGAUACCCGUGUAGUC